AUACAGAGGGUGCGAGCGUUAAUCGGAAUUACUGGGCGUAAAGCGCGCGUAGGCGGCUUAUUAAGUCAGAUGUGAAACCCCCGGGCUCAACCUGGGAACUGCAUCUGAUACUGGUAAGCUAGAGUUUUGGAGAGGGAAGUAGAAUUUCAGGUGUAGCGGUGAAAUGCAUAGAGAUCUGAAGGAAUACCAGUGGCGAAGGCGACUUCCUGGCCAAAAACUGACGCUGAGGUGCGAAAGCGUGGGUAGCAAACGGGAUUAGAAACCCUAGUAGUCC
rnacentral:rRNA from 1 species